AAUGCACGAUUUUGUAAGUCGCUCUGGAUAAGAGCGUCUGCUAAAUGACUUAAA
rfam:Salmo salar isolate Sally breed double haploid chromosome ssa09, whole genome shotgun sequence.